rnacentral:rRNA from 1 species
UACGGAGGGUGCGAGCGUUGUCCGGAAUCAUUGGGCGUAAAGGGCGCGUAGGUGGCGGGACAAGCGUGCGGUGAAAGCUCGGGGCUCAACCCCGAGUCGGCCGUGCGAACUGUUUUGCUUGAGCACUGUAGAGGCAGGCGGAAUUCCGGGUGUAGCGGUGGAAUGCGUAGAGAUCCGGAAGAACACCGGUGGCGAAGGCGGCCUGCUGG